CAACUGAUUCUGGCAAACACCAGCGUAUUUAGGAACACGAAUUUAACAAGUCACUCAGUGAAAAGAAAAGCCACAACUUUCUCAGUGGGUGUUUCAAAAGCCUGGUUUCCUUCUGAAUAACCAACUCCAAAGUUCCUGUUAACUGUCUCCUGCCUAUUUUAUGGACAACAGGACCAGCUGAAGAGAAAAAUUCUCAUUGCUUAUAUUUGGGUCACCAGGUGUGCUUGACACAAACAUUAAAAAGUGAAAUGGUUCAUGGGAUUUCAUAGUAAAUUAAUCAGAAACAUAAUAAUUGCUCAGUAAAUUAUUUUUGAACCUUGAA
rnacentral:lncRNA from 1 species